CGCGUAGGCGGGAUGGCAAGUCGGUCGUGAAAUCCUUCGGCUCAACCGAAGAACGUCGAUCGAUACUGCUGUUCUUGAGGGUUGCAGAGGAGACUGGAAUUCCCGGUGUAGCGGUGAAAUGUGUAGAGAUCGGGAGGAACACCGGUGGCGAAGGCGGGUCUCUGGGCAACUCCUGACGCUGAGGCGCGAAAGCGUGGGGAGCAAACGGGAUUAGAUACCCCGGUAGUCCACGCUGUAAACGAUGACGACUAGGUGUGGGGGGGUUCAGUCCCUUCCGUGCCGCAGCUAACGCAUUAAGUCGUCCGCCUGGGGAGUACGGCCGCAAGGUUGAA
rnacentral:rRNA from 1 species